AUUGGCUUGGUGGCUGCUGCCUGCAGCAAGUCCUGGCGCGCGGCGGCGUGCUGGGCCUGCAGCACAUGCAGCAGGUGCUGAGCGAAGCACAGCCCUGGUGGCUGCGGUGCCGGGCUCGCUCCAGCCUCCAGGGACAAGCUCCUCACGGUGCUGCUGUCCUACUUCUGCAGAAUUGUCUUCAUCAGCACAGCUCCAGCUUCAGCCUCCUGCACGCGGGAGCUGCUCAGGGCUUCCUGGGCCAGCUGGAA